rnacentral:lncRNA from 1 species
ACGGGGAGGACGCGCCGCGGCCGGGCAGGGAGGAGACCGGCACCCAGACAGUAAGGAUUCACUAUGUUGCCUAGGCUGGUCUCAAACUCCUGGGCUCAAGCAUAGCCUUCACUCUUCUCUGCAACAAAUUCCAAAAGUAUAUAGUUGAGCUGACUGCAAGGUACUUGACAUGCAAGAGACUCCACAAAUGGGAUUCGGCCUCUGGAAAGUGGUGGUAGUUCCAGAUUUAUGUGGAUGUUACUUUGUUUUUCCGUAUAAAAUAUAUUAUUUAAACUAUCAAA